AAUCAAUGAGAGGUGUUUUGCUGGGAAACCUUCUAAACAAGAUCGCAAGUGAGAAGAUUUUUAGAAUGAAGCAAUUAAGUUUGCUGAUUUGCACCACCCAAAUGUGGUACUUUUUAUGGUGUCGUGCUUGAUGGGCCUGGGAGAUCUGUGGCCACAGUAACAGAAUAUAUGGCCAAUGGUUCGCUCAAAAAUGCUUUGUUGAAGAAUGAAAAGAGUCUUGAAAAGUGGAAGCGCCUCUUGAUUGCUAUGGAUGCGGCUUUUAGAAUGGAACACCUGCACAGAAAGAAUAUUGUGCACUUUGAUUUUGAAAGUGAUAAUCUACUGGUCAAUCUUCGAGAUCCUCAUCACUCAAUAUGCAAGCCAAGAGUGAAGAUUUCCCUACGCAACUUUUGAUCCUGAACGAACCCGACGCAUUCGGAGGUAGUAGGGAGCUGAUUCCUAAGAAGUUGGUUAGUGUUCUUGUUCUGAUUUUUUUACCUUCAGUUAACUACGUUGUUUCUGAAGAAAUUAAAGU